rnacentral:rRNA from 1 species
GCCCACCAGCUAGCCCCCACCUCAAAACCAAAUACCCUAUAUAUAUACCUCACCCAACCCUAAAAUAAACAAACCAUUCUUCCUCCCUAGUACGGGCGACGGAAAAGGAC